rnacentral:tRNA from 1 species
GGGCUGGGGUUGAGUGGUAGAGCACAUGCUUCUCAUGCAUGAGGCCCUGGGUUCAAUCCUCAGCACCACA